GACGUAGGGGGCAAGCGUUGUCCGGAAUCAUUGGGCGUAAAGAGCGUGUAGGCGGCCCGGUAAGUCCGCUGUGAAAGUCCAGGGCUCAACCCUGGGAUGCCGGUGGAUACUGUCGGGCUCGAGUCCGGAAGAGGAGUGUGGAAUUCCUGGUGUAGCGGUGAAAUGCGCAGAUAUCAGGAGGAACACCGAUGGCGAAGGCAGGUCUCUGGGCCACUACUGACGCUGAGAAGCGAAAGCAUGGGGAGCGAACAGG
rnacentral:rRNA from 1 species